rnacentral:pre_miRNA from 1 species
AGAGGAAUAGCUGGGUCAAAUGGUGGUUCCAUUCCCAGUUUUCCAAGAAAUCUCCAUACUUUUUUCCAUAUUGGCUGCACCAAAUUGCAGCCCCACCAGCAAU